UUGAAAACUUUUUCAUCCAAAUACGCUCCAACAAAUAUCUUAAAUAUCUUAAAUUCUGCAUAUAUUGACCUGCUCUUCAUCUUCGUCCAAUUGAAUCGAUCAAUCGACCUUUACAACAUUAACCAUCAUCCAAACAUCAGCCACUAUCACUGAUGUCCUAGGGUUCGCCAUACCCAUCGUCACCACCAAUCCCCCAUCUAUAAAUCCUCAAAAUCUCGCUGCUAGAGUAUUUAAGAGUUUAUCGCUUGGGUUGCUUGCCCUGAUAUCUGCAUUACGUCAACAUAUUUUUUCAUCAUAUGUACACUUAUUAGUUAACAUUUGGUGGUAUAUACUUUGUAGCUUACAACGUGAACUGAAGGUCACCCUAGAUUUGCUUCCAAAUCAAUUUGGGUCCAAAAGUAGCUUCCAAUAUGUCUGUACAAACACAUAUGCAGCAAGGUGGAUCAAACUCGAAAGGAGAAAAAAGAUAGAAAGUUUAAGUAGAGGCCUGAUUGAGUAUUUUGAAUUUGGUGAGAAGUUCUAGGAAGAAUUUUUCCCUAAAAUGAUAUCUUUAUCGAUCUGUAAACCCCAAAACAUCUUCAAUCUAAAAAAUCAAAAUGAAUACCACCAAGGCCUCUCUCUGAACCUUCACUAUCUAAACAUCUAUUUUUAACUAUGUAUGUGUAUCGAUUUAUGGAUUUGGAUCUAAAUCUGGACACUAGAAACAUCAAUUUUAUCCCUAUUUGAUUUAGUUUUUAUUUGGAUUUACAGGUAUGGUUUGGACAACUUAGGCAUGGCCAUUUCGAUGAACAACAGAAUUAGGAGUAAGUUGUAGAAGGAGGAGGAACAACCGUUGAUGCAGUAAAAGUAGGAAAUUUUUUAUUUUUUGUGUUUUGUAUAAUUCUCUGUUUUAAUGGGUAUGGUUGUCUGUUUUUCGUUUUUGUGUUUUUCUUAAGGGAAAAAGGCCUUGCUCAUGAUGUACAAAGGAUUAUGGAGCAGAUGAAGCUUCUACAUUUUUAAAGAAAAAAGUUUCAGCUGCUGCUAGAGGUGCACAAAAAAACCAAUUCACGAUCCGAACCGGUUUCCGAACUGAAAACCGGUUCACCCCCGGCCCAAGCUAGAACCAAUCCGAUGCAAAACCAAACCGCCAGUUUGUAUAGGUUUAGAAAUAUAUAUGUUGGCACCGGUUUAGAACCGCUUUAAUGAGAACCAGUUUGCAGAACCUGUUUAGAACCGGUGUAGAAUCGGUUUUUCGAAGUUACCUAAAUAUAUAUAUUUUAACAAAAGUUAAUUGAAACAAACAAAAGGAUUAACGAGGAAACAAAAGCAAA